UGGGGAAUUGUUCACAAUGGGCGCAAGCCUGAUGACGCAACGCCGCGUGGGGGAUGAAGGUCUUCGGAUCGUAAACCCCUGUCGAAUGGGACGAAAGACUCGCGAGUGAAUACUUCGCGAGAGUGACGGUACCGUUAAAGGAAGCCACGGCUAACUCUGUGCCAGCAGCCGCGGUAAUACAGAGGUGGCAAGCGUUGUUCGGAAUUACUGGGCGUAAAGGGCGCGUAGGCGGCCCUCUAAGUCAGACGUGAAAUCCCCCGGCUUAACCUGGGAACUGCGUCUGAUACUGGAGGGCUUGAGUAUGGGAGAGGGAUGUAGAAUUCCAGGUGUAGCGGUGAAAUGCGUAGAUAUCUGGAGGAAUACCGGUGGCGAAGGCGGCAUCCUGGACCAUUACUGACGCUGAGGCGCGAAAGCUAGGGGAGCAAACGGGAUUAGAUACCCAAGUAGUCCUGAGCGGGCUGGCAAGGCGCAU
rnacentral:rRNA from 1 species